CAGCCGCCGCGGUAAUACAGAGGGUGCGAGCGUUAAUCGGAUUUACUGGGCGUAAAGCGUGCGUAGGCGGCUUCUUAAGUCGGAUGUGAAAUCCCUGAGCUUAACUUAGGAAUUGCAUUCGAUACUGGGAAGCUAGAGUAUGGGAGAGGAUGGUAGAAUUCCAGGUGUAGCGGUGAAAUGCGUAGAGAUCUGGAGGAAUACCGAUGGCGAAGGCAGCCAUCUGGCCUAAUACUGACGCUGAGGUACGAAAGCAUGGGGAGCAAACAGGAUUAGAUACCCCUGUAGUCCCUGUCUCUUAUCC
rnacentral:rRNA from 1 species